rnacentral:tRNA from 1 species
GGAGGGAUGGCCGAGUGGACGAAGGCGCACGACUCGAAAUCGUGUGUCCGAUUUAUCGGAUCGGGGGUUCGAAUCCCUCUCCCUCCG